AUGAUAAUAGUUUUAAUUAUCAGUUCUAAGGAUUAACAAUCCACUGUUAACAGUAGUUAUAAUAUUGUGCAAUAGGAAGGAGAAUAGGAGUCACCGACGGUGGAAGAUGGGCAAGACAAGGCGACGGUAACAAAGGUACCUUUGGCCCGUAACAACAAUGGAGGAGGAAGUUGCAGACGACGACAACAGUGACAAAGAAAGCUGCGGACCUGUCCCUUGACAUCGAAGGGAGAUACACACAAAAUAUUAGGCGGUAGAGGGAGCCGCGUACAAAAAUAACAAUGAUGAAGGAGGAAGAUUUGAACCUUUACAUCGACGACGAAGGACUUGUCGACGGCAAAAGAGGAAGAUUGAACCUUUUCGUCAGUUGCAAAGGAAGCAACGAUGAAACCUAGGGUUUGCCGAGCAAGUUGAGGGGGAAGGAGGGUGGAUUUCGAUGUUUACUGUUGGACUUAGUUGGUUCGAUCGAACCAACUAAGUCACUAUUGAAUUGAACUAGAGUCUAAAAGUGGGUUUGACUUGUUGGAUUCAAUCGGGCAAUCGCCCGAGGCGCGUGACACCUAGGCUCAGGCGAGCACCCAAGCCACGCUUCAAUGAAGCGCGUCACCUAGACCCUAUGCGAGGCAUUUGGGCCUCGCUUUGCCUAGCAUGAGCACCUAGGCGAAUGCUCAAGCGCCUUUUAAAAACAUUGCUUAAACUUAGUGAAAACUACUGAAAAAUUUCACUUAAAAGUCACAUGACCAACUUACUUCUCAAGAGAUGUACUGUCAGCAAAUGGAGAAAAUUCUAUUUGAGUGACUAUAAAGAAGAGAAAACUGAACUAUAGCACCAUACUCAAAAAUUGUCAAAGAACAUGUCGUUAAUUUUCAAGUGCUUGUAUAGAGAAUAAAUUUUGGAAAAAUACCAUAUUCCAAUGACAAUUUAAAGGCACUGUACAUUCUCUUAAAUUGUUGGUUUCAUAUGCCAUGUGGUAGAACAACAUGCAAAUGAGCAUUGCAGUUUACAGGUUAAUCUCUCAGGGCCACUUAAGCUCCCUAAUUCACCUAGCUCAUUUGUUUGUAGGGUUAUCCAAAAAGUCCUUGAUUUGAUAUUUGUUUUCUACUUUUCUAUAAUCUGAGUAUCAUUUGAACUUGAGUUCUUUAGCAAUUAGGAAAAACCUAUGCUGCACAAAUAUCUUUUGUUAGAAACUUAGAAUUAUACUGUGUACUUAAUAUUAUUUAUCUAGUGUAAAUAACAUGUACAUGUUUGUCAGAAGUGUGUCAUCUAUAACCACUGAAAGGUUUAGCAGCAGAACAACUACCUCAUAAUCUCAAGCCCCAAACAGCACCAGGAAGGUCAUAAACUAAUCAUAAGAACCAUUGAUUAGAAUCAGCUUAAACAUCUUUAUUCCACUGCUGCCUAACUUCAAUUAGAAAAAUUAAAGAUGGAGUACUAGCAGCAGUUUAUCUCUUAAUAUGGCUAUAACAUUUGAUGAAAUACAUAAUUUCUAACACUUAAGUUUUUGUUACUUCUUAAGGUUACUGAUAGUAAACAAUACACAUCAUACUCAAAAGUGUUGGACCAAUUUAACGGCUAGAAGUGAACAGAUGUACAAGUAUUCACCAAUAAUGUGACAACAUUUGGUGAAUAGAAAAAUACGACAUUCUACAGCUAAUGCAUAAAGUUCAAAUUUCUGAAAAUAAAAAUCAAUUAUAGUAGAAUAAAAUGGAGAAACUAACUAACAAAGAUGAUAGGGUGAGUUGCCAUGUAAAAUUAUUAACAGAAGAUCUUACCAGUUCAUUACCAAUGUUGUUGCCCACAAUGAUGGAUACUCAAGCAUCUUGAAGCUCCAUAUCAUCAAGAAUGACAUAUUUUGCAGCUCUAUCUAUUGAUCUAGAAUAUGUUCCCUCAUUUUCAGUUUGCUGACCUU
rnacentral:lncRNA from 1 species